ACAGUGGCUUUGCUGGGGACCACAGCAGCUUUUUGAGUCGGUGACUCAGGAGCCAUGGGUUCAGUUCCCCGUCCUGCUGUG